AACGAACGCUGGCGGCAGGCUUAACACAUGCAAGUCGAAUGCCCCGCAAGGGGAGUGGCAGACGGGUGAGUAACGCGUGGGAAUCUACCCAUCCCUACGGAACAACUCCGGGAAACUGGAGCUAAUACCGUAUACGCCCUACGGGGGAAAGAUUUAUCAGGGGAUGGAUGAGCCCGCGUUGGAUUAGCUAGUUGGUGGGGUAAAGGCCUACCAAGGCGACGAUCCAUAGCUGGUCUGAGAGGAUGAUCAGCCACAUUGGGACUGAGACACGGCCCAAACUCCUACGGGAGGCAGCAGUGGGGAAUAUUGGACAAUGGGCGCAAGCCUGAUCUAGCCAUGCCGCGUGAGUGAUGAAGGUCUUAGGAUUGUAAAGCUCUUUCACCGAUGAAGAUAAUGACGGUAGUCGGAGAAGAAGCCCCGGCUAACUUCGUGCCAGCAGCCGCCGUAA
rnacentral:rRNA from 1 species